AAGAAGUGAUUCGUGAAGAUCUGUGUGCAAAUCCAAAAUGAAUGCAACAAUAAAACUGAAGGAAAUAAGUCCUUCGCAUGCAUUAUUUGUAAGUAUAUAUUUCCUGCUUCUGUGAUUCCACAAAAGAAAACUAGGUUCAUAUUGUACUUUAUGUUAGAAAAACAUGAUCCUGCUAAGAGAUACUGUAAUGUCCAUGAGAGAGUAUAAGGAACCCUAUCUUAUUUAUAAGGAUAGUCUAUCCAAGAAAGUUUGUGUACUGAAAACUGAAAAGUUUGUGUAGCUAUGAAUUCAGAUGACAGGA